rnacentral:rRNA from 1 species
GGACUACCGGGGUUUCUAAUCCCGUUCGCUCCCCAUGCUGUCGUGUCUCAGCGUCAGUAGUGUGCCAGAACAUCGCCUUCGCCUCUGGUGUUCCUCCGGAUAUCUACGCAUUUCACCACUACACCCGGAAUUCCAUGUUCCUCUCACACCCUCUAGGUCAAAAGUAUCGCACAGCCUCCACGUGUUAAGCACAUGGCUUUCAUGCACGACUUAAUGACCCGCCUGCACACCCUUUAAGCCCAGUAAAUCCGGAUAACGCUCGCCUCCUACGUUUUACCGCGGCGGCUGGCAC